UACGUAGGGGGCAAGCGUUAUCCGGAUUUACUGGGUGUAAAGGGAGCGCAGACGGCGAGGCAAGUCUGGAGUGAAAGGCCGGGGCUCAACCCCGGGACUGCUCUGGAAACUGCUUAGCUGGAGUGUCGGAGGGGUAAGCGGAAUUCCUAGUGUAGCGGUGAAAUGCGUAGAUAUUAGGAGGAACACCGGCGGCGAAGGCGGCUUACUGGACGAUAACUGACGUUGAGGCUCGAAAGCGUGGGGAGCAAAC
rnacentral:rRNA from 1 species